GACUGCUUGAUGAAGACGGACGUAGCGGACAAAUAAUUUAUACUAAAGGCUCAACGAAACACGAAAGGAUUACAGCACAAACACACACAAGGAUUAAAAUUAACUCAAUGCAUUGGAAGCAUUCCGUAAGGGCGACGCGGCCAUCUUUUUUUCGCUCUCUAAUUUUCUUAUUGACCGAACUCUGCUUCAGCAGAGCUCAUUAGAAGCUGACUGCUUGAUGAAGACGAACGUAGCGGACGAAUAAUUUUUACUAAAAGCUCAACGAAACACAAAAGGAUUACAACACAAACACACAAAAGGACUAAAAUUAACUCCGUGCAUUGGAAGCAUUCCGUAAGGGCGACGCGGCCAUCUUUUUUCGCUCUAAUUUUCUUAUUGACCGAACUCUGCUUCAGCAGAGCUCAUUAGAAUCUGACUGCUUGAUGAAGACGAACGUAGCUGACGAAUAAUUUAUACUUAAAGCUCAACGAAACACAAAAGGAUUACAACACAAACACACUAAAGGACUAAAAUUAACUCCGUGCAUUGGAAGCAUUCCGUAAGGGCGACGCGGCCAUCUUUUUUCGCUCUAAUUUUCUUAUUGACCGAACUCUGCUUCAGCAGAGCUCAUUAGAAGCUGACUGCUUGAUGAAGACGAACGUAGCUGACGAAUAAUUUAUACUUAAAGCUCAACGAAACACAAAAGGAUUACAACACAAACACACUAAAGGACUAAAAUUAACUCCGUGCAUUGGAAGCAUUCCGUAAGGGCGACGCGGCCAUCUUUUUUUUUGCUCUCUAAUUCUCUUAUUGACCAACUCUGCUUGAGCAGAGCUCAUUAGAAGCUGACUGCUUGAUGAAGACGAACGUAGCUGACGAAUAAUUUAUACUUAAAGCUCAACGAAACACAAAAGGAUUACAACACAAACACACACAAGGACUAAAAUUAACUUCGUGCAUUGGAAGCAUUCCGUAAGGGCGACGCGGCCAUCUUUUUUUUGCUCUCUAAUUCUCUUAUUGACCAACUCUGCUUGAGCAGAGCUCAUUAGAAGCUGACUGCUUGAUGAAGACGAACGUAGCUGACGAAUAAUUUAUACUUAAAGCUCAACGAAACACAAAAGGAUUACAACACAAACACACACAAGGACUAAAAUUAACUUCGGUGAGUGUACAACAAAUAAAAAUGCAUUUAUAUUUAAGUGAAAAAAAAACAAACAGUUUAAAACUACAAAUCAACACACAAACAAAUGAAACAGACGUACAAUCAAUAGUUUAAAAACUAAGUGACCCAAAAAGAAGAGAAGUGUACCUGUAAAA